AUUAGGAAUCUUGUGCAAUGGGGGCAACCCUGACACAGCGACGCCGCGUGGAGGAUGACGGCCUUCGGGUUGUAAACUCCUUUUGAUGAGGAAGAAACAAAUGACGGUACUCGUCGAAUAAGCCCCGGCUAACUCCGUGCCAGCAGCCGCGGUAAUACGGAGGGGGCGAGCGUUGUCCGAAGUUACUGGGCGUAAAGAGCGCGUAGGCGGGAAGUCACGUCCGCUGUGAAAGCCUGACGCUUAACGUCAGCGGGUCGGUGGAUACGGACUUUCUUGAAGGCAUUAGGGGAAGAUGGAAUUACCCAUGGAGCGGUGAAAUGCGUAGAGAUGGGUAGGAACACCGGUGGCGAAGGCGGUCUUCUGGGAUGUCCUUGACGCUGAGGCGCGAAAGCUGGGGGAGCGAACGG
rnacentral:rRNA from 1 species